CCUACGGGAGGCAGCAGUAAGGAAUAUUGGACAAUGCUCGCAAGAGUGAUCCAGCCAUGCCGCGUGCAGGAAGAAUGCCCUAUGGGUAGUAAACUGCUUUUGAACUAGAGAAAACCCCAGUACGUGUACUGGGCUGAUAGUAUAGUUAGAAUAAGCAUCGGCUAACUUCGUGCCAGCAGCCGCGGUAAGACGAAGGAUGCAAGCGUUAUCCGGAUUCAUUGGGUUUAAAGGGAGCGUAGGUGGACUGAUAAGUCAGUGGUGAAAUCUCCGAGCUUAACUCGGAAAUUGCCAUUGAUACUGUUGGUCUUGAGUACAGUUGCUGUGGGCGGAAUAUGACAUGUAGUGGUGAAAUACAUAGAGAUGUCAUAGAACACCGAUUGCGAAGGCAGCUCACAAAGCUGUAACUGACACUGAGGCUCGAAAGUGGNGGGAGUACAACAGAUAGAUACCUACGUAGUCGCACCGUAACGAUAGUAUACUCG
rnacentral:rRNA from 1 species